rnacentral:rRNA from 1 species
AGCCCAGAGCCUGAAUCAGUGUGUGUGUUAGUGGAAGCGUCUGGAAAGGCGCGCGAUACAGGGUGACAGCCCCGUACACAAAAAUGCACAUGCUGUGAGCUCGAUGAGUAGGGCGGGACACGUGGUAUCCUGUCUGAAUAUGGGGGGACCAUCCUCCAAGGCUAAAUACUCCUGACUGACCGAUAGUGAACCAGUACCGUGAGGGAAAGGCGAAAAGAA